rnacentral:tRNA from 1 species
GGGCGCGUAGCUCAGUUGGUCAGAGCGCCGUCUUCACAUGGCGGAAGUCGCUGGUUCGAAUCCAGCCGCGCCCACCA